rnacentral:lncRNA from 1 species
UAAUUGUAAAAAUAUUAAAAGGCGGAGGGGCUAAAAGUGCAAUUUAUCCCUCCGCGCAAAAACACGCGGAUCUUUGGCCGGGUCGGGUCAGAGUCGAGUCGACCCAUGUCCAAAACGAUGCCGUUUUGGAGGGCUAUUUAAGCCACUACUUCUCCAAAAAUUUUCAUUUGCAGCCUCUUUAAAAAAACAAAAAAAACACUUCAAAAGCUCUCCCCCUCCCC